rnacentral:tRNA from 1 species
AGCUCAGUGGUAGAGUACAUGCCUGACAUGCGUGAGGUCCUGGGUUCAAUCCCCGG